UACGUAGGGCGCAAGCGUGUCCGGAAUUUAUUGGGCGUAAAGAGCUCGUAGGCGGUCUGUCGCGUCUGCCGUGAAAACCCGAGGCUUAACCUCGGGCUGGCCGGUGGAAUACGGGCAGGACUAGAGGUAGGUAGGGGAGAAUGGAAUUCCCGGUGUAGCGGUGAAAUGCGCAGAUAUCGGGAGGAACACCGGUGGCGAAGGCGGCAUCCUGGACCAACACGUGACGCUGAGUGAGCGAAAGCCAGGGGAGCAAACGGGG
rnacentral:rRNA from 1 species